rnacentral:lncRNA from 1 species
CAGAAAUUCCAGUUCCUUGGAUAUGCAGACAAUCUUAUUGCAGGAAGUGCUUGAAUAAUAACAUAUUUAAUCAAUUUUACAUCUUUCAGAGGUUUGACCAAUUUUAUGCUCUAAUUAUGACGUGGAAAGGGGAAAAAUUAUUUUAUCUGGAAAUGCUGCUAAAUGAAUCCUCCUAGGAAACAAGCAGGUAUGAUCUCAUGGAUUAAUUUACCGAUCAACUGAUUCUAUUUCAUACUUAAAUAGAGCAAACAUUAAUUUCUCUAUAAAAUUGAGUGGUCUCUCCAGGUUAUAAUGUCUUGGGAUUGGUGGGUCUACUGCAAAUUUUAUUGUUGUAUUACUGUUUUAAUAGUUAAACAACUGUUUUGCUCAAAAAGCUAAAUGGGAAAAAAUCAUCCCUCAUUUGAAGAAAACGUUUAAGAUUUGCCCUAUGGAAAUCACAUUGUUUGCUUUGAAAUCCUAAUCUCAUAAUCAACAAAUCAAGAAAAACAAAAAUUCCCAGAUAUUUGGAUAAACAAGUCAAACCCUAAUAAUAAAAACAUACAUGAAUACUAAAAUCUCCAAUAUAAUAAUAACUCCAAUAUCAUUUCAUAAGAGCUUAGCAUUAAGAGAAUCAGAAAAUAAAAACAAAAACACAAGUUUCAGAACUUAUGUAUGCUUGAGCCAUGAACAUCUCAAUCCUAGCUACCUGUGAUUGCCAAAGGAUCCAUAGUUGCCCAAAUGAUUAUUAUAUCAAACAUGUGAUACAACUUCAAGGGUCAUGAUUUCUCAUUAUGAUCUUCAUCUCCUUCAUCAUCACCGUUGAUCUCGCUGCUGCUGUGAUUAUAGUUUGCCAUCAUCAUAGCUUCAUGUGGGAAUUGCAGAGGAAGCCAUGGAUAAGUUGUGGUGAAAGAGAAUUCAGUGAAGGAGAGAUUGCUGAGUUUUUAAGGAAUAAAGAUUUGGAUUGUGGAGAAGGGAUCUUCCUAAGCAUAUGCUUAUAUGCUUGAAGCAUUAACUUGCUGGCCCUUUUUUUUUUAAACUUUUAGUUGUUUUAUUAUUAUUAUUAUUGAGACAAAGGUGGGUUGCUAAUAAAACUAAAGUAGGAUGCCAUGCAUUGCAUUUCAAGCAGGUUUCUAUCACAUUUUGCCAUGUCACUCAAAUUUUGGAGAAUUUAUUCCAUGUAAUCCUGGUAUGUUAUCAUUGGUGAGAUAUAUAAAACUUACCAGGAUCAAUUUUUAUUGUAUUAUAAAUUUUUUAAUAAUUUGAACAAAUGAGUUCAAUAAGAAAAAUAAAAUACUAGUUUUAAAUUACAAAAAAUAGCACUCAAGACUUAAUCUGAUGAUAAAUGUAUCUGAAUAAAUUUGAGAGUUCUCAAAUUAUACUCCCAAUCCCCAAUAUUCCAUUUAAAAAAAACAAAAAAAAUCACAAAGAAAUAAUGGAUCAACGUAUUGUAGUAUCAACUCCACUAAUAAAAAUUCAUUCCUUACAGUUGAAGAUUCUGAGCCUCCAAUCAACAGCAAUGAAUGAUGUCUUAAUACUUUGGACUUUCAAAAGCCCUAUAAAGAAAGCCCGCUAAGGUAGAGAAAUAACAUUCUAAGAAUGGAGAAGUAUGAUGAAAAAUUAUUACAUAUAAUGUCUUAAAAUAUUAAUUAUUAACUAUAAUAAAAUUUCUCAUAAUUAAUUAUUAUAAUAAAUAUGUAAAAUUUCUCCUUGAUAUUAGAAAACAAAUCUCAAGAUUAAAUGGAGAUUUAAGGAGAUAAACUUAGAUAUAUUCUAAUAAUACACAAAUCUAGGAAUUUAUCACAGAAAAUUUGAAAAAUAAAAAAGAGAUUUAAAGGAGGAAAAAGAAAAUGAGACUAGAUGCACUGACAAAACAUGUUGUAAAAUUUUUUUGGUGAUCAAGGUUGGGUUCUCUUUCUUUAUUAUUAAAUACCUAUGAAUGAAAAAAGAAAAGUUGAGACUAUAUUAAGUACUUAUAUUAUAUUAAUAAAUAAAUACCAUUUAUUAUGAGUAUUUUAAAUUUUAACUAAUGUAGUCAAAUACUUUUUAAAUGCAUAAUUAAUAUUGAAUUAAAUUUUGUGUGUUUCAUGAAAAAUAUUUUAUAAAAAAUUAUUUUUAUAUUUUUAAUUUUAGUAUAUUCAAUAAAAUUAAUAAAUAAAAAAUAUUUCAAAGUUAAAAAAAAUGAUGAAUUUCUCAUUCGAAAAGAGAAAGUUGCACUUUGAGAAUCUUAUUAACAUUUCGAUAUAUAAAAUUUUAAAUUAAAUUUAAAUAAUAAUAAUAAAUAAUUUUUUAAAAAAUAUUUUAUAUAAAAAUUAUUUUAAAAAAAAUAUUUUAUUAAAAAUUAUUUUAUAAAAAAAUAUUUUAUUAAAAAAAUAUUAUACUUAAAAUAUUUUCGAAAUAUAAAUUGUUUUUUACUAAUAAACUGACCCUUAGGUUUUGUUUGAAUGGAGCAAGUUGAUUAACAAAGUAAUAUUUUCAGAAAAUAUUGAAACUCUCUUUGUUUGGUUUAAUUAUCAAAUUAAUUUAUUGAAUCAACUUUCUAAAUAAUCUAUCUAAAAGAAAUAUGGUAAGUUAGACGUGACUAGGUAAAUAUAAUAUAAUUUUGGCCUAAUGGUUUCAAAAGUUAAACUUUUUCAUUUUUUUAGAUUCAAUUUAAUUUUUAUAAUUUUAGCGAAAUAUCCCAAAUUUUCAAAAUAUUUGAAAGUCUUAUAUAAUUUUUUAAAUUGAAUUUGAAAAAAUUUGACAUGGCAAUCUAAAUAAAUUAUUUUAAUAUUAUAUUAUGGUUCACACGUGAUAUAUAAUCAAAAAAUAACUAAUUAUAAAAAAUCUAAAAUUUUCUUUUUAUCGAUGUACUAUUUAUAAAAUCUAUAAAGUUAAAAGUCCAUGAGAAGAAUACCUAUUGAAUUAAAAAUCAAUCAAAACAAAAGUUCACACAAAAAAUCUAAUAAAAUUAAAUUAAACAAAUCAAUUUUAAAAAAAAAUCAAAUCAGAUACUGACAUCUAGAUAAAAUAGGUUUAUAAUAGUUGAGUAACCUUGCCUUGAGAGGAAAGUGUUUCUCUCAUUUUAUUAUUUUCUUUUAUCUGUUAGUGACGUCCAACGGCCUUACUGCUAUUGGGCCACCUGUCUUUAUCAUAUGGAUACGUAUAAAAGCGUCAGACGUCUGCUUCAUGUUAAACUGCCAUUUAAUUUUUCCCCUGACAUGUGUGUAAACAGAUCUAUUAGGUGGAUGAGCCGGUUAUCCCCUCUCCUAUUAAGUCUCAUGACCGAGCUGGGGUGAACAGACUGAGGCCCAAGGGAGGCCCGAUCUCAAAGCCAAAUGGUCUGGACCGGCUCAUUUAAAAGGUUUCAUGAACCUUAGAUUAGAGCUGUCAUCAUGGGUCUGACCUCGUAUUUGGGUGGUGAAACCCGGCGGUUAUCAAACACCAAUCAAAAACCCAAACCAGCAUCAAUUAAACGAACCAAAUCCAAUGCAAAAGAUAGCUAUAACUGCUAUGCCACCGAUUUGCACUACAACCACUGAAAUGCACAAUACAAAACCAGAGCAACCAAUUGAACCCAACACAGCAAACGGAGAAACUAUUAUUCGAAAUAGAAAACGAAAUACCAUUCGAAAUAAAAAAAGAAAUACCAUUAAUAAUAACAUACUGGGAUGGAGAUAUAGCAUAAUUUAUCUGAAAAUUAUCAAAAGAGAGCUAUAGUCAUCGAAUAAAUUGGUAUGAUUUUGAAGUUGUCGAUCUCAUAUAUCAAAAUUUACUCCAAAAGCUAUAAUCUAAAAAAACUUUCAAAACAAGUCUAUCAUACAACGUUUUUUUUACAUACAGUAAAGAUCUGAAAUAUAAAUAAAAAACCACAUAAAAGAAAAGAGUAAAAGUAAUUGACACCAUCUCGGUGAGGAAAGAAAUUGAGAGGGAUGAGACUAUUUCAAUUUUUUCAAUUUUAAAAAAUUUCUAAAAUUUUAUAUAAUUUUAAACUCAGUACCCUUUAAUAAUGAAACACAAGAAAAAAAGGGAAAUUUAUAUUGUUUAUGAAAAAUAUGAGAAAUCAUAAUACAUAAAAAAAAUAUUUGUUGUAAAUCGAAUCCAACAUAAACACUAAUCAAAUGAAUUAUAUGAGUUUUAAGAGUGGGAAUGGGAAGAAUAAGAAGAAAUUGAGAUGGAAAAUGUGGCAUAAAAAGAAUAAUUACUAUUAAGUUUUUUUAUUUUUUAGUUUUCUUAAUCAAAGUUAAAAUAAAUUAAUUAGUAUUUUUAUAUAAAAAAAUGUAGAAAUAAGACAACGGAUUAUAAAAAGACUCUUAAGGAUUACGUAUCUAUCUGUUAUCUCAAUCAUAUUUCAUAUGCUAUGUGCCUUUACACCCUUAAAUGCAUGUGGGAUAUAACAGAUAAAGACAACUUUACUCCUUUUUUUUAAAAAAAAAUUUUAGCAUACAGCCCAUACACAUGGCCUAAUCUGAUUACUUUAAUUAUAUUUGUUUUUUAAUUAACGGAGAGAUGAUUUAGUUGAUAUUAUUAUUAUUAUUAUUUUUAAAUUAUAGGUGGGGAGUGGUCUCAAAUAAAUAAAUUAAUAUUUUUCCAUAACAAAAAUAUUUUUCAAAAUUUUUUAAAAGAAAUUAAUUAAUAAAAAAUAUUUUCUUAAUAAUUUUUGAAGUUUAAAAUGGCUUUUAGUUUGUUUUAGUGAUUUUAAUUAAAUUUAAAAUUAAUUUUAAAUAUUAAAAAUAUUAAUUAAAUUAAAAUUUAAAUCGAAUGGUUUUUAAAACCUUUUCAUUAAUUGUUAAUCUUAAAUCUGCGAUUGUAGUUGAACUAAGAGCAAAUUGAAAUCAUUGAAUCACAAUUAGUAUGAACAAAGACCUAAAAUGAAGAUGAGUUGGAUUAUUAGUAAAAUUUUCGAUAUUUGAUUUAAUAAAAAUUCUUUAUGAGUAUUUAUUUUUAUUAAAAUAAAUUAAAUAUAAAUUUAAUUUGUAGAUUUAUUUAUAAAUGAGUUUAAAUUUAAAUUUAUUAAUAAUCAAUUUAAUGUUUAUGAGUAUGAAAAAUUUCAGAUUUUAUUCUUUAAUUUUUUUUAUUUUUUAUUUUUUAUUUUUUAAUAAAAAAAUUUUAUUAUGCAAGAUUUUAUUUAUUUUUUUAAAAAAUAAAAAUUUAAUUAAUUUAAAAUUUAAAAUUAAAUUUAUUUAGCACUCAUAAAUUUAAAAUUUAAUAUAAUAAUAAGUCCAUCUAAAUAGAUUUAAAAAAUUUCGAUUCUAUCUCAUUAAUUUUUAAUUCUCAAUUAAAAAAAAUUUUUAUUUAAUUUUAAAGAAAAGUGUAACUUAUUUCCAAAAAUAAAUUGAGUUUGGUCGUUAACUAGCGAAAACACUAUUAUAUAAAAAUUGACUUAGGCUCAACUCGUUUCACAAGUUUAUUAGAAAAAAAAAAAGAAAAUUAAGAAUCCUUAGUGUUCAAAUUUCAGCUCUCUGAUCUAAUAUCUCCAUGGCCUUUCAAUUCUAAGCUCUUUGGAGAUCUCUCUCUCCAACCUUGACUCUCUUUCUCUCUAUUCCCGGAACUGGUUCCUUUUUUCUACUCGUCGAUUAUUCGAUGGCUGCUCCACCUGCGAGGGCUCGAGCCGAUUACGAUUACCUCAUAAAGCUUCUCUUGAUCGGCGACAGCGGUAAGCGAUCUCAUCGAUGUUCAUUUCCUUCUCCUUUUAUCCGCAAGAAUAUGGAUCGUUUUCUGUUGUAGUUGUGUUUUUUCCCCCUUUUUUUGUGUUAAAUCUCUCUUCAACGAUCUGAUUUCUUGAAGGAUUUGAUUUGUUAUGGCAUAUUUCUUUAGCAUUAUGAGAUUUGUGUUAGGUGCAUUGAUUUGCAUUUUCAUGCAUCAUGAGGAUGGUAAUUUUGAUUUUAUAGGUAUUUUACAAUGGUGAAAUUUGUUUUCUUGCCAAUCAGGUCUCCAAAAUGUUUUCGGCUUAGAAGUUCGUUUUUUGUUUGAAAUAAUGCUAUUUAAGCUUUCUCUGUAGCUAUCAUCUGCAAAUUUCCCCCUAUUUAUUUGUAGUUACUAGAGCUGAGGUAGUGGGGAUAGAUAGAGGUAAUGAAUCUGAUCGAAAUUAUGGAAUAUUAGAAACUUUUUUCUUUUAGUUUUUUCAUUUUUCUAGAGAAAUAUAAUUUGAGAUAUUUUUAUCAAUAUUUUGCUGAAAGAUGAGAGCAAGGAUGUAUUUAGCUAUUUUUAACCUGUGAUGUUUUCUUUAGGACUCCCUGCUUUGCUGGAUGUAUUUCAUGAUUUCUUUUUUCAUUUGAGUCUGUGCUGGGAUAUUAGAAGUGCUUCUUUUAUAUUAGGGUAAAUUACAUUUUAUACCGAUCUAUAAUUCUUUUUUAGGGUAAAUUGAAGGUUAUUCCAUCCAUAAUUCUUUUAAUCAAUCGGUCAAAAGGAGAAUAAACAUCUUAAAUAUCUAAAAUACACUCAUGAACACUUAAAUCCUUUCAAUAUAAGUGAAAAAUUUUAUAUUGUUUAAGCUACACUUUAGUCCCUAAGUUUAAUAUAAUUGACGGAUCAGUCUUUAUAUUUUUAAAGCUAAAUUCUUAAAUCUCUUCAUAUUUAAUCUGUCUAAAAUUAGAGUUUUACAUCCAUUAUAGACAUUAGUUCAAAAUUAUUGGAUGGUCUGAAAGUAGAAUUUUUUCAUAAAAUACUCUUUAUAAAAGUUUACAAUCUAUACUUACUCUUUAUAAAAGUUUACGAUCUAUACUUAAAGGUUAUUUAGUACCACUUAAAAAUAGCUGAAAUUGUAAGUAUUUUCUCAAAGUUUUGAAAUUAUAAGUAUUCAAGUAUUUUAAUGAACGAAAAUUAAAGAAUAAAAAUUGUUAAAAAUUAGUUAAAUGAGAUAUUAUAAAGAAAAAUUAAUGGGAUUUAAUUGUUCUUUUAAAUAAAAAAUGAAGGAUCAAAAUGUUUAAAUUAUAAUAGAUGAUGAUAAAUUGAUUAUAUAGGGAUUUAAAUGUAUAAUUUUAAAGAUAUCUAUUAAUUAUACUAAAACUUAAGGAUUCAAAUGUAGUUUAUCUAUUCAAAAAGGGUAACAAAGGCAUUUCUACACUUUAAAUGGAUGGAGGGACCUCUAAUUUGGACGGACUAAUUAUAGAGAGAUUUAAGUGUUUGAUUUUAAAAAUAUAAGGACCGAUCCAUUAAUUAUGCUAAAAUUCAAGGACUAAAGUGUAAUUUACGCUUUAUAUUAUAUAAUGUUCUUUGAGCUAGCAAAUAGCUCUUGUAAUUAUAUGUGCAAUGAUGCUUCGAUUUGAAAGUGAAUAGAAUUUUUGUUAUAGAACAUUGAAUGCCCUUGAGACUCAAGAUUUGAGGAUAUCGUGCUUCCAACAUGAAUCUUUGGGUUAUAUCUGGUAAUUGAGGUCUGCAGUUCCAAUUCCGGUUAAGCAUGGUUCUCAAUUCUUCAGUUCCACUUCAUUCAAUACGGUUCCGUUUCUCGGUUCUUAAAAUAAAUUUAUGCAAAAUUUUCAUGAAAGUUUAUGCUUGAAUUACCAUUUAAGUUUUAAAGUUAGUUAUUAAUGCAAAUUAUAUUAUAUAUAUAAUAUACAUUUAAGCUAUUUGCAUAUAUACAAAAUUAACCUUGAAAAUAAUAAUAUAAGUAUAUUAUUUAAUCAGAAAAUUACUUUUUCGUCCUCGAGGUAUAGCAUAAUUAUGAAAUUUGUCAUUUUAUUUUUAGAACUCAAGCCUUCAGUUCCUGAAAUUUGAUUUUGUCCAAAUUCAAAGUCUCUCUGUCAAAAAAUUCUGUUAAGUAAAUGAUCUAGGCCUAAUUAAAGGAAAGAGAGUAAAAUAUAAUCCCAAAAAUAUUCUUAUCCUCCUUUUCUCUUCUGCCCUUUCUCUUCUCCCUAUCCUUUCCCUUCUUUCUCUCAAGCCGAUUUCUCUCCUCCCUUCUCCUGUGGUUGGUGCCGACUCAUCACUGUCCUCCUCGUCAUUGCCACCACCGAAGGAGAAGCCUUCCUCAUUGCUAAGAAGAAUCACCCAUCGUCAAAAAGAAGCACCCGUCAUCGUUUCCAUUGCCUUCAUCGUAGCUGCCGCGAAGAAGCCCUCAUCAUCGUUGCUGCUCUUGUCAUCGCCUUCUCGAAGAAGCACUCCUCCUCGUCUUGCUGCCUUAGUCGAAGCCGUGAAGCCUCAUCAUCUUGCUGCCUUCGUCGAACCUGCGGAGCCUCAUCGUCGCUGCUUGCUGUCUUUGUCAAAGCCACUAAGAAGCUCUCAUCAUCAACGCAAACGGGAGGCAGAACUAGUGGUUGGUGAUGGGAACAGGCAAGCGAAGGGCGACAGCGCGAUGAUGGUGGAUGGUAGAGGGACAUCAUCAAGCAACAAUGGUGUGAGGGGUGAGAAUCAGGUGACUGCGAAUGUGUUGAUUGUUGAGAAAAGAGACCUUUGAGUUUGACGGAAUUAAAUUUCAGGAACUAAAGUAUUGGAUUAUAAAAAGAGUAGUUUGGUUAUUUUUUCUGUCACUAAUGAUAUUUUUUACGGACUGACCUCUGAUGUUGACAGUAUCAAACAUUAAGGACUAAAGUAUUGGGUCUUAAAAAUAAAUUCGUUAAUUAUACUACACUUCAAAGACGAAAAAGUAAUUUUUCCUUAUUUAAUAUACAUUUUAAUUACCUUUUUUAUUAUAUAAUAUUUAAUUAUAGCAUAUAUAUGUAACAAAUGAUUAAAUAUAUUGUAAAUAUAAUAAUUCACUUGUAAUUAAGAAUGAUAAAAUGAUUUAGUAUUUUUAUAACUAAAGUUAUUAAUAAAAAUAGAUAAAUAAUAAUGAUAGUAUGUAAGUUGUACAUAAUUAUAAUAUAUACAUAUUAUGAUAUUAAUGCAUAUAAAUAUAUAUAAUUAUGUUUAUAUAUAUAAUACACCUAAAAAUUAUAGAAAAGCACGUGUGUAAAAUCAGUGCAGGUCCGGAAUGGUCCACGGACGGUUUCGGUUGAGUUCUUAGUGAAGAACCAGAAUUGUAAAAUAAGUUCAGUUUGGUACAGAUCUUAAAAUUGUGGUAUGGUUCUUCAGUUCAUGAUCCCAAGAACCGUGCACAACCCUAUAUGAUAAUAUUCGAUAGGGCACCUUAUUAAAUUGGGGUAGUCCAGCAUUGCCUUUGCCUCUUGCUACCUGUCCUCUCCUCUCCUCACGUUUGAAUUCCAAUGCUGCAAUUCAUUUGUUCUGUGUUCAUGUCGCUUGUCCUUGUUAUUAAGGUGUAUUCUGUGAAAUCUUUGUUCAGUUUGGUAAACUAGGACCAUGUGCUCACUAAAUUUUGACGAUUGACGAAUCUACAAUGAAUAUCUCAUCAGUCAAAAUCUUAUGCUCAUACUGAACUUGUGAAUUGUGAUCAGGAUAAGAGUCUCUCUGCUUAUGUUUAUGUUCAGUGAUUUGCAUAUCCUGCCACUUUUUUCUGUCUCAUUCAGCUUGUCACCUAAUUGUUUGCAACUUGUUCAAAAGCUUAAAGAGUUGAGUUGGACACUGUUAGUUACAGUGUUGAAGGCCUUUGAAAUUUUUUUUUUUGUCAAAUAGAUAUAGAAGAUUCAUUAAAGAAAGUCCCAAGGCCUAAAUACAACAAGGUCCAUCGAGAAACAAAUCAAGGAUCAAAGGCCCAUACAUAUAAAACCACAAAACUUAGAUCCAAAAACCCGAAAAGGACCCGAUAUCCAACCCGGAAAAGGCAAGAAACGCCUCUUCAAACCUGAAAGCACCGUCACCGGCAAUAAAAAAUUGAAACUUGAAGCCAUCAGGAGAAGGCUUUUGAAUUUGGAAAUUGUCUGAUUUUCGCAUAGCUGAUAUGUGAGAACUUUGGAUUUGUACUUAGCUAUUUAUGGUGUUUUAGAAGUAAUAUUUCUACAGGGUUUUAUUCUUUGACAUUUUCCUUCUUUUCUUUUUUCCCUUUUCAGUGAUUAGGGAUUUAUUCUAUGACAUUUUUCCUCUUUACUGUUUUGGUUAAAAAUAAUAUACUUGUAAGCAUACUUAUAGUGGAAAAUGGAAAAUAGAUAGCUAAUUCAGAGAUGAGAUUGGCUAAUGCUUCUAUAGAAGGAUUAAUUGGCUAGUUAAUCAUUAGUGGUAGACUUGCCAUUUAUAGAUGAUUAAGAGCAAAGCUGAAGAGGUGCCAUUGUUUUGGGGCAGUGGCAAAAGUCUUUGUGUAAGUCCAUCUUAUUCUUAUGUUAAAAUUAGUGAAAGGUAAUGGCUUUGUUCUUUUCUUGGAAUGAUAACAUGGUAACAGCCAUUAAAUGGAAAGCUGGAGAUUGCAUGAUCUGCUUACUGGCCUCGCAAUUUCUCAUUGUUGGAUGAACUGGUCUGUUGUGCUCUGAUGUUUUGUGUUAUUUGUUUACUGUUGGACCUAGAUUUAUUGACUUAUGUAAGGAAACUAGGAAAAUCUAGAUAGUAAACUAAUAAGUCAAUUGUGAAGUAAAAGUAUACUGCUAGUCAGGGAUUUAGGUUCACCAGAUAAGCGAAUACACUGGUUUAACGUGGUUAAUAUCCAGAUUCACAUGCUUCAUGCUUGGUGCAUAAUUUAUUGUCUUGAACUUUCUGCUGGAGAGUGUGUAAUCCUAUGAGUUCUAGCAUGUGGUUUCAUUAAUAUUAUUCUUGUUUUAUUGCUAUUUUAAUAGGAAAAUUAAUGUCCUUUACUGGAUUUGAAUAGUCAGAAAAGCUAAUUUGAUCUGCAAGUGACUUUGAACUAAAUAUUUCUAUUGAUCUUGUUGUUUAACUCCUCAGGGGUGGGCAAGAGUUGCCUUCUUUUGCGAUUCUCAGAUGGUUCCUUCACUACUAGUUUUAUCACCACCAUUGGGUCUGUAUUGCCUGAACUAUGGGUUCAUACUGCAUUAUUUGCUUCCUCUUAGAUGAAUUCUCUGACUUCCCAAUAUCACUUCUCCUUGUGCAGUAUCGAUUUCAAGAUAAGAACCAUUGAGCUUGAUGGCAAAAGAAUUAAACUUCAAAUUUGGGAUACAGCUGGUCAGGAACGGUUCCGAACAAUUACAACUGGUAAGUUUCUGUUCUAUAGGUAAUGGUAUUCCAUUCUAACAAACGGGAGAUGGUGUUUUGGUGACAUCUAGUCUUAUUUGAGGUCGGUAAUAAUGCAUUGCACUUGCAAGGAAUUGAAUUGACAGUUCAUUUCUGAUAUUUAUGUUAUUCGCCUUGAAUAUUUCAAGUUGGAAUCAGUCAAUUUGAUAAUCUUAAUGAAUUUCAGUUUUCCCCUGAUUGGAGAAAUGGGCCUUUUCCUUUGGACUUUUGGGAAUGAGGGUCGCCUGGAAGCAGUUUAAUGGUUGAUUGUGAUUGCUCAAGCUCAGGUCCUAAAGGUUUUUCUUGUGUUAAAUACUAAGGUUGAACAAGGACUCUAGACAACCUAAAGAAAAUCCUUUGGCUACUUUCUUUCGAGAAACAGGCUUUCACAUUAGUAGUUAAGUGAAUGACUAAACCAUAGGCAUUUGAGAAACCUAGAAGUCUGAUGCUUGAAUGCAUUCUUUGUUUUAAAUUACAUUUCAUGGUAUUUCACCUAGUGCCAAUGCUGAGUGUAGAAAAUUGCCAACGUAAGUGAAUUAAAGGUUCCCGUCAGGCUAAUAAACUGUUCUAUGCAUUUAUGGGCCUGUCAGAAGGUUUAGAUCUAGAAAUUGUUAAUGUAAUUAUAUCUUUGUGGUGCUGUUUCCUGAAAGUUGUUUUCUUUGUUUCCUCCUCCAUUUGUUUCAGUGUCAUCUCUUAAUUUGUUCCCCCGCUCAUUCAUUCCUUACUGCUUUUGCAGCUUACUACCGUGGAGCCAUGGGUAUUUUGCUAGUGUAUGAUGUUACUGAUGAAUCAUCUUUCAAUAGUAAGUUUCUGUGCUCUUUAUCUGGUAGCUGUCAAAAUUACGAGUGUAAACUAAUUUUGCUUCACCCUGAUGUACGGUUUGGAUUACUUUUUUUUUUUCUCUAUACUUGUGCAUGCCUGUCUAGACCAUUCUCAUUUACACAGGUCCAUUUUCACUUACAAUGAGGUGAAUAGUUGAAGUUACACUAGGUUUAUUGAGCAGUUCACCUUUGGGUGUCCUUUUUUAUUUUUAUUUUUUCUCAUAAACAUGGCAAUGUAACCUUUUCAGACAUCAGGAAUUGGAUUCGCAACAUUGAACAGCAUGCUUCAGAUAAUGUUAACAAGAUAUUGGUGGGGAACAAGGCUGACAUGGAUGAAAGCAAAAGGGUAUUGCUAUGUUUUUAUAUUUAUUGAUUGAAAAGAAUGCUUAAAUGUCUCUUCAUUUUCGGAUUGUUUUAGUUGCAUGAGCUGAGUUGUUAAUUUUUCCAUCGAUGCAUGAGCUAGGUUGUUAAUAUAUUUAGAAAUUUAAGCAGUUAAUUUCUCUCUCUUGUUCGCACACAUCAAACCUUAUGGCUUAAAGUUCAUGUACCUCAAUGUUAUUUUCUUGAUAUUUUCUUAGGCUGUCCCGACAUCCAAGGGUCAAGCACUUGCUGAUGAGUAUGGGAUCAAGUUCUUUGAAACUGUAAGUAAUGCUCGCACAUUCCAAAGCUAAUUGCACAGUUUGGUUUUUUUAUUGAAAACUGUGAAUUGCAGAGUGCAAAGACAAAUUUAAAUGUUGAGGAAGUUUUCUUUUCCAUAGCAAAGGAUAUAAAGAAAAGGCUUGCUGAUACGGACUCGAAGGCUGAGGUAUUUUGAAUUUUUGUUUUCUUAAUAAAAGAAGAAGAGGGAAGAAAAAAGGAGUAGAAGAAGAGGAGGAAAAGUUUCUAAAUAUUAAUAUAAUUUCUUUUUAUUUAUAAUUAUUGCAGCCUACAACAAUUAAGAUCAAUCAACCAGACCAGGCAGGUGGGGCGGGUGAAGCUGCCCAAAAAUCAGCUUGCUGUGGUUCUUAAGAGCAAAUUAUUUUUAAUAGGGCAUUAAUUGCAGAUGACACUUAUCUAAAAAUGAGGGGAAGUUGAAAAUAGAAAAAAAAAAUUCUGAUAACAGGAUGCUGUGUGCUUGUAAUUUUUCUUUUUGUCAUUCUUUUUGAACCUGGUUUUAGUGUGUUAAGUGUAGGUUGUUAGACUACAUUUUUUAUUCUGACAGUGCGUCUCCUGUGGUACACUCUUUCUUUUGCCCUUCUUGGGCAACUAGUUUCUUCUUUGCUUUUGAUGUAUUGGAAAUAUUUGUUAGUUUAUCUGUAACGUAGAAGACGAUUACAGUUGUUUUUUAAGUAGAAUAUAUAUAUAUAUAUAUAUAAAAGUUCUCGAGUUUAAUCCUACUUUGCACGGCAAAAAAACCGUCACACUUGUCAGGUUCAAGAUGUAUUUAUGCCACUUUAGAUCUUAUACGUUUAGUUAGAAAUUGAACCUAGUUUAAUAGAGCUUACAUGUAUGCGUGAAAUUUUCAAAAUCCUAAGGAUAAUAAAAGUUGAACCUAGUUCAACAGAGCCAUGUAUGUGUUAAAUUCUCAUAAUGGUUUGCGAGAAGUAAAUGUGUUCAUUAUAAAGUCUUGGAUAGUCCUUUCCUCUUAUUCUGCUUCAGGGCGAGUAAAGUCAGGUCCAUUUUCAAAUGUUUGAUAUCAUAUCCGUGCUACAAAAACUACUUUUAUUUUCCCUCUAAAUAUGCAUUUAGAGAUAUCAAUGUUACUCUUUUUGAUAAAAGUCUGUUUGUAGACUUGGCCAUGGCCUCAAUUUCGAUCCAUUUUGAGGCUGGAACCGCGGGUUUGUUGAACUUUACAGUUUGAAUUGAUCUUGGUUCCCGUUUUGGUUCAAAAAUAUUAUUAUUUUACAAUUCAAAUUUAAUUUCAGUUUAGUUUGAUUCCGGUUUAUGAUUUUUUAAAAACACAACAAUAAUAAUAUUCUAUAUUUAGAAUAUAAAAAUUUUAUUAAAAUGUAUUUAAAAUACAUUAUUUAUUUAAUUUUAUAGUAAAAAAUUAAAAGAAAUCAAAUCAACUAUAUAAAUUAUUUAUUUUAUAAUAAGUGAAGAAAUUCUUUGAAACGGGCUGGUUUUAAUACUAGUUCGAGAGGGGGAGCUUGUAACUGCCCUCUCUCAAUCCAAUUUAUAUACUGAAAUCAUUUUAUUAUUCUAAUCUCGGAUUUGAGUAGUAUUGUUAUUAACUUGAUUAACUUUUGUAAACCCAUUGUAGCUAGGACAGACUUCAGCAUCUUCCAAAUCGUGUGAUAUAGAGUCCUAAUAUAUGCAUACUGGUCAUCCAUUCCAUGACGCAUGGUUUUUUCAGACAAAUUGACAGAUCUUCCAGUUUUGCCAAGGAGGUGAAUAGAUUGGACGGGAACUUGCGGAAAACCAGAGGAAUCCUCUCUGUAUUGCAAAAAAANNNNNNNNNNNNAAAGAAAAAAAAGAAAAAAAAAAAACGUGUACCUAAAAAAUGCUUUAACAAAGAAUAUAGAAUUAAGAAUCAUCAUUCCAAAAAUGAAUUAAAUCAAAUAAAUUGAAAAUUAAAAUUUUAGCAUUUAUAAAAAUCAAACUGAUUUUAAAUAAAAAUUAAUUUAAAUUGAAUCAAUUUGAUUCAGUUUGUUUCAAUUCAAUUUAAUUUAUUAAAUUUUUUAAUAAUUUUUUUUAUUUUAUUUUUAAUAUUUUAAAAUUUAAUUAAAAUAUUUUAAUUUUAAUUAUGAUAUAAUUUUCUUAUAUUAUCAAAAAUAAUAUAUUAUUACUCAUUAUUAUAAAUUCGAUUCGAUUUUAGUGAUUUUUUAAAUUUAAAUCGAAUUAAAAUAAUUAAUUUUUUUAAAAAAAUUAUAAAAAAUAAUAAUUUAAAUUAAAAUUUUAAAUUAAUCUAAUUCUAUCCAUUUUUCCAAUUUAAACCUAAUACUUUACACCCUUGUAUAGCACUACCAUUUUGCUUCUCCACUCCACAGUGUCUAUUCCUCUUUAUGACAGUGGUAAACUGAUCAUAAUUUUUAUUUUUCUUUAAUUUUUUUUAAUAUGUAUACUAAAAUUUUAUUUUUAUGUUAAUUAAUUUAUUAAAUGUUUAUAAAAAUAUAAUAAAAUACAAUAAAUUUUAAUUUUUAUAUUGAUAUCCAAUAAUCUAUUAUUUUAUUCAUUAUAAAUAAUGCAAAAAAUAAAUAAAUAAAUUAAAUUAAUUUUUCAAAACUUUACAUAAUUUGCAUUCGAAGACAACUUAAAUACAUUAAUUAUUAUUCAAUAUCGAUGUAUCCCAAUUAUAAUUCAUAUAUAUAUAUAUAAUAAAAAUAAUAAAUAUUUCACAUAAAAUUAUGGGUCAACUCUUAGAGUCAAGUCCAUAGAGAAAAAAAAAAGGGUACUUCGUCCCAAUGGAGAAAUCAUGAUGGGACCAUUUCAACACGAUGACCUCCACCUACCAAAUUUCUUAGAUGGGAUCCCUUAAAUGUACAGUUAUUAAUUAAAAUUUUCAAUUGAUAUAUUUUAAUUAAUUAAAAAAAUUAAAAAUUUAUAUAAUUUUAUAAAAAAAUAUUUAUUUUUUUUUAAAAUAAAUCAUACCAAAUAAAAAAAACUAUAUGAUUUUGAUUUAUUUAUUAAUUAAAGACAGUUGCAUAUAAGAAAUUUUCAAUUUCUUGGUGUCAUUUAUAUUCUGCAACAUUGCCAUUGCAUUUCACUAAUUCUUUUUAAAGAAAAAAAGCUAAAAUUAAUAAUAAUUAAUAAUCAUAUACAAGAUCAUAUAAUAAAAUUCAUACUACGUAUAAUAAAAAAUAAAAUAAAAAAGCCAAAUGUAUUUAUUUUUUAAAUUAAAAUAAAAUUCAAAAUAUAACUAAUAAAAAGGAGAUUUUUUUAUUUAUUUUUUAUAAUUGAUAAAUGAUAUUAUUAAUUUAUAUUUUAUUAUUAUGAUUUUUAUAAGUUUAAGUAUUUAAUAAAUUUAUUUUGUUAAAUAAUAAAUAUUUGGUUAAAAAUAAACCUAAAAUAAGCACAAGGGCGACAUAGUUUAUCUUAAAUUAUUGGAUGCUUUUAUAGUAUCACUUUAUUAUGCUAAACACAUCAAAUCAAUAGUAUUACAAAGAAAUUGUUAAAUAAUUUAAAAUUACUCACUAAAUUUACACUAUUAAUAAAAUAUUAAUGUUUAUUUAAAAAUUAAAAAUAAAUUUUAAUUUAUUAAAAUUUUACUUUUUAUUAUAAUUAGUUUGAAUUAUUACACGAUAAAUGAUAUGAAACUACCAUUUAAUUGGAUCGAUUUAAAAUUAAAUUCAAUAAUUAAAUUUUAAGUUUAAAUAUUUAUAAAAAUUUAAUUAAAUUAAAAAAAUUAAUUUAAAUUAAAUUAAUUUAAUUUAAUUUGGUUAGAUGGAUUAAAUUUUUAAUAAAAUUUUUAUUUUUUAUAUUUUAUUUUUAGUAUUUUAAAAUUUAUUUGAAGUAAUUGAAUUUUGGAUUAAAUAUCAUCUUUGUAUGUUAUCGGUUAAUUAAUUAAUUUGGUUUUAAAAAAUAUUUUUUAAUUAAAAUGGAAUGAAUUAAACUUUUUAAAAAUAAAAUAAAAUAUAAAAUAAAUAUAAAAUUAAACUAAAAUUUUAAAUUAAUUCAAAUCCAACAGGGAUGGUACUUCCUUAGCUUUAUUGUUACCGCCGCCGGAUCCUCUUGGCUGGAGCAAUACAUUUUCAGUUGAGAUUUCUGCGUAAUAUUUAAGAUUCAGCCUCCCAAACCAAAAGCAAUUACAAGCACACGACAAGACAAAUUAAAACGUCUUCUUCUCAAAAGCAUUUAGGUACUACCUUCACCCGAGCUUCUCCUCUUUUUCCAUCAAAUUUCUCCUCAAAACCCAAGAGACUACCCUCUACAAAACGCCAAACUAACACCAAUUCAUAUAUCUCCACAUCGAUUACUAGGAAUUAUCAUCAACCUCACCAACAAGAACGAAAAUUCCAAGAUGAAACAGCGCCACCAACAACGACAGAAGCCGCGGCCAGCUGAUCAUGAAGCUCCCCAACCCCAUGAUCGUCAUCAUCAGCAAGAACAUCAGAUUCUGUGCUGUCAACUAAUGCCAGAUCAGCAAACUACAAGUGAUAUUUCUGAUGAUCAUGCCGGAGAAUGGAUCAGUUCUUUGGAUUAUUCACGGCUCACUUCUUUCUUGGAAUUUGAUGACUCUUUCUUAUCACCCUGGAAUUGGAAUUCUGAUUUCCUUUUUGUAGAAAAUGGAGAGAAACAGCGUAUGAUGUUCCUACAGGGUUCUUUCUUCAGCCAUUACAGUUAUAACUGAACUUUGAUCUCUGUUUUUUUUUUUUUUUUUUUCCCCAAAGAUCUCAAUUAAUUUUCCAUAGUUUACGAUAGAGUAAAGUAGUCUCUAAAUUUCAGUGAAAACUAUAAAUUUCUUACACAGGCCAGGGAAGAAAAUUAUACAGAAUCAAAAUGCUAUUAAGGGAGUUAUUCCAAUUUCCAACCCUCAGCUAUUUAAUCUUAUACUCCCAUUCUAUAAUUUUUUAAAAUAACUUGAUUUAUAUUUAUAUUAAAAUUAUUAAAUUUUAUUAAAUAUCAAGACAUAUUCUAAAUAGUCAUUUGAUAAAAUAAUGAUUAAUAAGAAGUUAUUUUAAAAAUAAAAUAAAAUUAUAAUAAUAAAUUUAUAUAUUAUAAAAAUGCAAAAAAAAUGAAUAAUUAUUUUGAGAUAAAAAAGAUAGAUAAAUUAAAAUUAUGAGAUAGAAAAACCAUAUGAAAUUAUAAUAAUUAAAAUUGUCCAUGAAAUAUGUGAAUCCUAAUUAUAUCUCUCGUUAUAAAAAUUAUUUUUAAAAUUAUAAAAACUAAAUAGCUUACUUUUAAUAUAUAGAUUUUUCAAAAUAAAUGGUGACUUACUCUUUGUUAUAAUUGAAAUUUAAUCCAUCAAUUGCAACUUGGUUAAUCUAUCAAGAUUUUUUAGUUAAAUGAAAAGAAUAUAUAAGGUUAAAAGGCUAAAUUUGUCCUCCAAUAAAAUAGAAAAAAUUAAAAAUAUUAAAUUUAAUAUUUCGAUCUAAAUUUAUCAUUAAAUUAAAAAAAAUGCUAUACUACUAUAUUUUAAAAUUGUACUCUCUCCAUAUUUCCAUUAAAAUUAAUCUUGAAAUGAGUAAAAUUGUACUCCGUUAACAUUUCCAUUAAAAUUAAUUGUGAAACUCGUUUCAGCAAAAAAAACUUAAAUUAAUAAAGAUAGAUUCUAAUUAGAAUAAUAUUUAAAUUAAAAAAAAAAACAGAGAAAAAUAACCAUGGAAGCAACGAUGAAUAUCAAAUUCAAUGGGGCAAAUAAUUUUAUAGUUAGAUGGCGAGAAUUUUACAUCAACAACAAAUGGAAUAUAUAUAAAUCUGCAAAUAAUAUUUACCGAAACAAGUGAAAAAAAAUAAUUCAACCAAUAUUAAUACUGAAAUUAAUAAUUAUUCAUAUGUAAUUUAAGACUAUACUUUUAAGGAUUAUACAAGAUAAAGAAAUACUUUUUUUUAUUUAUCUCUCUUUAAAUUUAUAUAUUACUUUAAUUAUAAUUUUUAUUUGUUAAUUUAGAGAAUUUCUUGUACUGAAAUAUUUUUUCUAUUAAUUUUUAAUAAAAACAUAAACAGAAUAUAAUUAUAAAAUAUAAACGGAAUAUAAUUAUAAUAUAUUAUUUUAUUAAAUGGGAAUAUGGACGGAGUAUAAUUAUAAAUAUAUUAUUAAUAUAGGAUAUUUUUGUCAAAAAAAAUUAAGUGUAAUUAUGAAAAUGCAAAGUUUGGAUUUUUAUGCAUAUUUCUCAUAAGUUUAUUUAUUUACCUAUAUAUAUAUAUAUGCUCUUUGGUAGCAGACUAGGGUGGUAGGCGUCCAAUUAACAAGGACAAAGGAGAAGGAGGUGUGAAAUGACCGGGAAAAACUAAAGCAGCUUAGGAUUACUUUUGUAAGGCGUACGGUUUUUUAUUGUUCUGAAAAUCAAAAUUAAUUGAAAUUUUUUGUAUAACUUUACUUUGGUUUUAUAUAUAUAUUUAUAUAUAUAUAUAUAUAUUUAUAUUUUCAAUUCUGUUUGAUUUUCAGUGAUUUGAUUUUGAUUCAGUUUGGCUUUUGAUACUUUUAUUCUAAUUCAAUUCAGGUUUCUUUUUUAAAUAAUUAUAUGUAAUUCCUCAUAUAAAUCUUAUAAUUGCCAUUUAAAUUUAAAUUUAAAUUUGAAAUAGUCAUAUAAUAUUUAAAUAUGAGUUACUUAUAUUCUUAGCGAUUAAGUCAUCUAAAAUAUUAUAUAAAAAAUAUAUAUAUAAAUAUUUUAUAUUUUUAUUUUAAAGUAUAAUUUAAUUUAUUUCAAAAUAACAUAUAUAAUAUUUUAUUGUUAAUAAAUAUUGAUAAUUUUUUAACGUUAUAAAAAAAUAUUAAUAUAAUAAAUAAAAUAUAAUGCAAUUUUACUUAUUUUUAUUUUAAAAUUUAUAAUUUAAUUAAUAUUAAAUUAGUACAUCGUGAUUUUUAUAUUAAUAUUUUUUAUAUAGUCUAAAAUUACUAUUAUUUAUUAACAAUGCCAUACAUAAAUAUCAUAAAUUUUAGAGCAAAAAAAUUAAUAAUUAUAUAUAUAUAACUCCAAAAAAAUAUGAAUAAAAUUAGUUUUUGAUCCAGUUCUCUUUCAAUGCCAUUUUGAUAUUAUUUUAAUGAAAAACAGGGUAAAAAUAAAACAAAACUAAUUCAAUAUAAUUUUAAUUAAUUCAUUUUUUCAGUUUAAUUCAAGAAUCUAAAACCUAUACGUAGGGGUGAGCAUUCGGUCGGUUCAGUUCAAAAUCGAAUCAAACCGAAUAAACUGAAAAUUAAAAUUUUAGUGUUUAUGAAAAUCGAAUCGAACCGAUUUUAAUCAGAAAUCGAAUCGAACCAAACCGGUCUGAUUCGGUUCGAUUCAGUUGGUUUCGAUUUUUAAUAAUUUUUUUAUUUUUUACACUUUAUUUUUAAUAUUUUAAAAUUUAAUUAAAAUAUUUUAAUCUUAAUAUGAUUUAAUUUCUCUAUAUUAUUAAAAAAAUAUAUUAUUAUCACUAAUCGGUUCGGUUCGGUUUUUUCAGAUCAAAACCGAACCGAACCGAAAUAACUGAAAUUUCUGAAAUUAAAAACUAAACCAAAUCGAAAUGUAUAAAAAACCGAAUUAAAUUUUCAAACCAAUUCAGUUCGAUCAAUUUUUUCGAUUUAAACCGAAUAUUACUCACCCUACCUAUAUGUACACCCCUGUUAUUUUCAAUUUAAUUUAACUCAUCUUUUUUCUUUUAAAUAUAAAGUAAACUAUUUUAGCUCUUUUUUUUUGUUUUUAAAUAAAAAGUAAACUACUCUGCUUAGAAUAUAUACAAUAUUAUACAUAUAUUUAUAACGUCAGUAUAAAAUAAUGGGUUAUAUAGUAUAAGGUAAGUAACUUUCAUCCUUCCUUACCAUAAAAAAAUAAUUAAUAAAUUUUUAUGUUUAGGUUGCUUAAUUAAGAAAAUUGAUGAAUAAAGAAUUUUUUUUAAAAAAAAAUCUAUAUUUAAAAGAGAUUUUUAUUUUUAAAAUUUUGAUAAAAGUAAUAAAAUGUGAAAAAUUUUAAGGUUGUCGAUACAUCCACGCCUAUCGAUCUAACUAACACAUUUAAAAAAAAAAUCCGAAGUAAAUAUUAUUUUCAAUAAAAUUAAAAAAAAUGUUAAUAUAAAUAAUUGGCGUUCCGAUGGUUUAAUUCUUAAUUAAAAACAAACCUUACUAAAAUUUAAUUCAAUCAUAUAUAAAUUAUUUGUAGAAAUAUACAAUUUUAAAUUUGAGUCUCAAACAAAAUCAAUUAUAAUAAUAUAAUGUCAGCAUUUAUAUAUUAAUCGAUAGUGAUAGUGAAUGCAUUUAAAUAAAUCUCACCUUCAAUUUUUUAUUUUCAUUUAAAAAAUAUAUAAUCCCAAUUUGAUAAAUUUAAUAUCUUUUAAGGAAAUUUAGCCGUCUUGCCAUAAAAUAUUUACUUUCAAAUUCAAAUCAAUUGUAAAAAAUUCUAGGACUCGUUGUAGAAAAAUGAAUGAAUCGAUCUGUACACAAAAAUCUAACUCUCAAAUUGAAAGAUAGAAAAAAUUCUACGUCCAAAGUUGUAAUUAAUUAAACAUAACAAUUCAAAACAGGAGACUUCACCAUCUUCCCCAACUGCAACAUCAAGUCAUUCUCCACCGGCGUCAAGUUCAAAUCCAAGCACAAUACUCUCUUACUUGUCGAUUUCUUCAUCGUAACCGGCACCGGCAACAGAGGCCGAGUCACUAACCUAUCACUCAUAUUCUUAACAUUUCCUCUGUGUCUUCUCAUGUGACCUCCGAGAGCUUGUCCAAUAGGGAACUCAAGGCCGCAGAUAGAGCACUCGUGGGUUUUGGGUUUCGGCGGCGAACUGGGUAGCUUGAGCAAAUAAUCUCCGAUGAGUUUUGGUUUCUUAUGGCUUGCACGGUGGCCACCCAAUGCUUGAAACGAUGUGAAUCUCCGGUUACACGUCUUGCAUGCGAAUAAACGACCAGAGGGUUCAUCAGUUUGGCCAACUUUAGAGAUCAGCAUCAAGCAAUUGGCCAUAUCUAUGGCGGACUCAGAUUCUUCUCUGUCUCCCUUCAUAUUUAAAACCUAAUACAACAGAAGAAUAUGCAAAUAACGUGAAAGUGAAGAUUUUUUUUUUGGUUGAUUUUGAAUCUGAUGGAAGGAAGAGAAGGGAGUUUCGCGUGUUUAUAUAGAGGAGUUUCUGAGCUGGUGGAAUACGUCAGAGCUUAAGGCAGUGAAGUGUUGAAUUGGCAGAUUUGCCCUUGGAUUCGCGCGGACGAAGGCUCUAUUAUGGUGGGAAUUGGAUGGCAGUUUGUGUAAAUAGUGGAAAGUUAUUGGGUAGAGUGUAGCCGCCGUAGUUGUUACGUCUACGUGAACGCGUUGCUGACAGAACGUUAGCAAUGGCCCUAUGAGGCUAGUCUCCGUUGUAACCUGACAAUUCUAGAAUCCUUUUACUAUUAUUAGUAGGACUUGGGACUACAACCCCAAGCGUGUAAUCGGGCGCGUGCUUACAUUUACUGCUUUUUUUUUCAUUAAAUUUAUUUUAUUUUGUUAUAUAAUAUAUUUUUUACCGAGUAAUUAUCAAAUAAUAAAUUUUCUAAAAAUAUCAAUAUCACACGUAGACAAUAUAAUGUAGAACAUAAAGGGCAUUUAGGAAAUAAAAGAGAUAAGGAUUUUUUUUUGUUAAAUAUUAAUUUUUAACUAAUUAUCAAUAUCAAUCAUGAUAAUUUUUUUAGGAAAAUAGCUAAAAUUAUAAUAUAUUUUAUGAAAUAAUUUAGAUAUUACAUUGUAAGAUUACUAUAUAAUAAAAAUAUUACAUUCUAACUAAAAUGAAAAUUUUAAAAUUGGCAAAAAAAAGAAAAAUUAAAUAAAACUAAUUUCUAUUUUUUACUGAAACAUUAUUGAUCUUUAACUUUAAUUAAUACUUUUUUCAUUCAUUUAUUUAUCAAAAUUUGUUAAUAUCUUUUAAAAAAGAACCCUUAUAUCUUAUAAAUAAAUUCCCCUGCAGAAACGCAAAAGACGUAGAGAAAGUUGGGGAGUGUGACAAGCACAUGACUGAAAAGCGCGUGGACAGUUGACAGAGGGUUGAGAGUACAAAAAAGCACAGUGAGAAAGCGAGGGCAGUUUCCGAGGAGAAAUGACGAAGAAGAAAUAGAGAAAGGGAAGAGACGUGGUGAACAAGUAGCGAUAGUGGUGUCUUACUAGUAAAUCUACGCGCUCCAUUAACUCGCUCUUGUGAGCUGCCUCGUUUCACACCCUCAGCUUCCCAUCUCCCGCCUUUAAAUAUAUAUUAUAUAUAUAAAUUAAUUAAAAAAUAUCAUAUUAUCAAAACCAUAUAAAUUAUAACUAAAAUUAUAUUAUGAAUUAUUAAAAUUUUAAUAAAAUAACUUACUUUUUAUUUUUUAAUUUUAAUUUAAAAAAUAAAAUAUAUUAAAAAAUAAAAUAUAUUAAUAAAUUUAUAGAUAAAAUUUUAAUAAAAUUUUUAAAGGGUAGAAAAUGAUUCUUUUUUAAAAAAUAAAAUUAUAUUUUUAAAUAAUUUAAUUUUUUAAAUAAUAAAAAUAUUUUCUGUUAAUUAAUUUUUUAAAAUAUUUUAAAUAUUACAAAAUUUAGAAAAUAUUGUCCUUAAUUUUUUGUUUAAAACAAUCGAAGCCUAAAAUUAAAUUUUAAUAUAUAACGUUAAUAGGAGUAGUAGCUUUCACAAGUGAUGUUAUAUUUGACAAGUUAAUUGAAAACUCAAACAAUACCCUUUAUCUAGGAUGGACAAGUCCUCUCCCAGAAAUGCAAGACCAGCAACCCGAGACAAGUACGUACGGAUGGAAAAUUUGAAUUAUCUUGUCUUAUGAAAAAUCUUUUUUAAUUCAAAAAAGCAAAUUACUUUUUAAAAAAUGUCACUUUUGAAAUUUAUUAAUUUUUAAUACUUAAAUUUAUUUUAAACUCGAUUAAAAUUUAUUUUAAAAUUAUUGAAUUUAUAAUAAAAUUAUUAUUAUUAUCUAAAUAGUAUUUAAAUACGUUUUAUUUUAUAUAUUUUAAUUAAUAUCUCUAUUCAAUAAAAUUAAUUGUAUGAUUUUGUCAAAUAAAAACAAGUAAUAGGAAAACAGCCCAUUGAUUAAGGGACAGAUUGAGUUGGUAGGUUUGGAAUUUAUUGAUAAAUUGGUCGUCACAAUGUGGGCAACAUAAGAAAAGCAAUUGUUGUUACUUGUGAGUAUGUUUCACAUUAUUUCUUAAGUAUUUCAAUGCAAAUUUAAUUAAUUAAUUAGUUGAAGUUUGAAAAAGACUGAACCUUCUUCAGUUUCAGUAAAAGAAAAAAAAAACCGCCAACUUUAUACUGUUUAAAUAUUCGUAACAACUUUACAUACAUGUGUUGUUAUUUUAUUGGUCCGAUACAGCAGAUUCAUGCUGGCGACAUAGUAAUGUGUCUAUGUGCUUUCAUGAGCAUCAUAAUUGAUGGAAUUAGGUACACUGCCAUGUUUUUUAUUUGGGCGGCCGGAUUUUCUUUGAAAUUUUUAUUUUGUUAAUAUGGUGUUUUUCUCUUGAAUUUAUUUAAUAAAAUUAAAUUUGCAUCAAAUAAUUUUUUUUAAAAGAAAAAAAAAAAACCAAAGGUAACGUUUGUUUGUUAUUAGUAUUGAAGUAGUGAUGGUCAAGGAUGCAAAAAAUUUAAUCGAGGGCCACUUGUAAAAAAAAAAUAAAAAACAUUAUAUCAAAUAAAUAUGAAUAAAAAAGUAGACUACCUUCUUUCUAUUUUCUGAAUUUUGAAAAUUAAAAUAUAUAAGUUUUUUUUUAAUAUUUUUAUAAAAGAAAGGAAAAACAGAAGAGUUGGAGUUGAGGGAGAUCUAUUUGUUAAGUUAAGAAAUUGCAAGAAGUUAAAUUAGCUUUGAAUUAUAUGGGUAAAAAUGUUAAGUUUUUUUAAAAAAUUUAACAAUAAAUUAUUAUUAAAAAAUUAAAUAAAUCUAAAUAACAGCAAAUAAAUUGAACAGGUUGUAAUUUAUACUCUAACAUCAAAAUAAAUUUUAUUUGAUAUUUUAAUAAUAAUUUAAAAAAUUAAAAAUAAAAUUUAAUAUUUUGAACCUCACUCUAAAUAUUCAAAUACAUAUUUACACUUUACACUGGUAUACUAUUUCAUGAUAGUUUAUUAAGAAUUCAAACUAAAUGGGUAAUUUAUUGGAAAUCUAAACUUAUAAAAAUUAUAAUAAUUAAACACUAAUUGUAUUAUUAAUGAUUUAAUUUAUAAAAAACUAAAAUAAUAUAAUUUAUUAUUAAAUGCGCUCGAUAUUUUGCUGAUUAAAUUAUAAAUUUUCAUAAAACGAUAAAAUGACUCAUUUAAUUUGUCUAUUUAUAAGAAUUUAUUACAUACUUAACAAUGUAUUGAUUAAUUUUUAUUUUUUUUCUGAAAGAUUAUCAAUAACAUAGCUAUUAACAUAGCUAAUUAAUAAUUGUUAUAAUUUUUAUAAAUUAUAAUAUUAAAUAAGUUAAUAUUUUAAUUUAAGUGUUCAUUAGAUAAAUUGUAAUUAAUAAAAAUAUAUGAAUACAUAUUUCGUUUGUUUUUUUUUUUCAAAAAUGAAAAUAUCAUUAAAUAUGGACUAAAAAUUCAAGGAUUACAAGGUUUUAUAAACAAAAAGGCUCAACGCAGUCCAAUUCCAUCACCAAAUACCAGGUCCAAAGGGAAAGAAAACCCUAGAAACUAACCGGGUUAUCCAAACUCGACCCAAAGAAGCACAGGAAUUCUAAGGGUGCCGUUCAUCAUCCCAGAAGAGAAAACGAACGCUGAUCCUUUUUGAACUCAAUGAAAAUCGUUAACCGCCACUACCACGCCGCCAUGCCCCAGACUAAGAAGACAACAUCACCCAGAAAAACCUAUCUAUAGGGCACAUCAAAAUAGUCAAAUGGACAUAAAUGCCAGCUAUCAUAAAGUUGAAAAUGAAAAAAUAUAUAUAAAGAAUGCAUGGCGGCAAGCCGUUCUUCAAAUUUCAACUGAUACGUCAUGGAGUAUAAAAUUCACCACUGAGGUAAUGAUUAUAUGAUUAUAUUGAAAUAUCGAAGUUAAUAAUAUAUUAUAAACUAUAUAUUAUAUUUCAUGAUCUUAAUAUAAAAAAAUUAUUAUAUAUUUUUAUAUUUUUUAAUAUAUAAAUAUAUAAUAUUUUUAAUUAUAUUUUAUUUUAAAAUUCACAGAAAAAUAAAAAGAAUUUAAUUGCUAUGAAUAUAGUCAAAUUAAUUAAUGGGAACAUGAGAAUAACAGAACUUUUUAAUAAUAAGUAAUUCAUUAAAGUAUUCACAUACUUUAAAAAUUAUAUAUAUGAAAUUUUAAAUUACAAAAUUAAGUAUUUGAAAUUUUAAAUUAUAAAAUUAAUUAUGUGAAAUUUUGAAUUACGAGGAAUUAAAAAGAAUUUGAAUUAUUUAUUCUGAAUACUAUAUUUUGAAGAUAAGAAAAAAGAAACGAGAAAUAGUUUUAUUUUCUUAAAAGUUGCUACUGCAAUUCUAAUCAUGAUUUAUUUAUUUUUGAAAAUCAUAUAGGAGAUAUUUUAAUAUUUUUGGUAUCUUUUAUAAUUUUUUAUGGAUUAAGAAUUAAAUUAAUAUGAUUAGUUAUAGUUUUUAUUGUUCAAAUAGGAUUCUGAUGCGAAACUCAGAAUAACUCGUGAUAAAAAACCCCAAAUAUAUACUUGACAAUGAACAAGGUAAAGAUAUAUUUAAGAAGAAUGUUCUAUUACACCCUUAACCAACUAAUAUAAUUAGAAAUAUAGAUAAUCAAGUAAAUUUUAAUUAGAGAACACAAAAAAUUUUUUUUUAAUAAAUUAACUAAAUAUGGUGGAAAUCUAUAUUAAAAUGUAACAAAGUUGAUCCUUGAUAAAUUGCUAAACAUGGAGGCACAAAAGAAUUAAUUAUCUUUACAAUGGAGAAUAAUAUCAAAUCUUUAUUUAUUAACUUCCUCAACAUACAAAAUAAAGGCUAUUUAUAGCUAAAUAUCUCCUAAUCCUAAUUGAAAUAGAAAAACAAAAAAAAUUCUAAUUGAAAUAAAAAAAUAAAAUAAAUUUUAAUCGAAAUAGGAAAAUAAAAUAAAUUUUAGUUGAAAUAAGAAAAUAUAAGGUAAUCAUAUUUCAAUAAGAAAAACUAUAACUAAUUCUACUAAUUUGACUCAUAUUUUAAUAAGAAAAAUUAUUAUUAUUAUUAUUAUUAUUAUUAUUAUUAUUAUUAUUAUAUCAUUCAAAAACGCUAAAUUUUACUUCCCUGUGCUUCUCAACCAGACUACAUUGAAUUUAAGCUGCUUUUUAUUUUUAAUUUUUAUUUAAAUUAAUUUAAAAUUUUACAUUUUAAGUUUAAUUUAAUUAAAAACAAAAAAAAUGAGUUACUUAAUAGACUAAAUAAAGAAAUUAAGAAAUUUAAUCUAAAAAUUAAAUAAUUAAUAAAUCUGAUGAUCCGAGAUCCAAUGGAAUAAGGUUUUACAAGGGUUUUGUAUUACUGAAUAAGGCUUAAGCUUUCUGAGGAGGGGUCUCCUCUUUUAUACAUUAUCUUGCUUGCUGGUGACGUGUAAAGGUUUCUCCAGGAUUGGGCCACGCGUCUCUGCCAUCCGGAUUCGGAGGUACUAGGGUAUCAGCCGCCUGCUCCAUGCGUAACGGCCUCUGAUUCUCCUCAUGCGUACGUUCGAGCAGAUCUGCCAGGCUGUCUGGUGAAUAUCAUUCUGGAUCCUGGACUGGGCUGAGAGUUGGGCCGGAUGCUAAGCCUGAGUGGAGAGGGCCUGCUUCGUGCGGGCCGGGCCGGUUUGAGUGAGGAAGAUGGGUCGAGCCCGGCCUUGAAGGUUGGAUGAGCCAUGAUUGUUAUAUGUAUCAGGUGUGUNNNNNNNNNNNNNNNNNNNNNNNNNNNNNNNNNNNNNNNNNNNNNNNNNNNNNNNNNNNNNNNNNNNNNNNNNNNNNNNNNNNNNNNNNNNNNNNNNNNNNNNNNNNNNNNNNNNNNNNNNNNNNNNNNNNNNNNNNNNNNNNNNNNNNNNNNNNNNNNNNNNNNNNNNNNNNNNNNNNNNNNNNNNNNNNNNNNNNNNNNNNNNNNNNNNNNNNNNNNNNNNNNNNNNNNNNNNNNNNNNNNNNNNNNNNNNNNNNNNNNNNNNNNNNNNNNNNNNNNNNNNNNNNNNNNNNNNNNNNNNNNNNNNNNNNNNNNNNNNNNNNNNNNNNNNNNNNNNNNNNNNNNNNNNNNNNNNNNNNNNNNNNNNNNNNNNNNNNNNNNNNNNNNNNNNNNNNNNNNNNNNNNNNNNNNNNNNNNNNNNNNNNNNNNNNNNNNNNNNNNNNNNNNNNNNNNNNNNNNNNNNNNNNNNNNNNNNNNNNNNNNNNNNNNNNNNNNNNNNNNNNNNNNNNNNNNNNNNNNNNNNNNNNNNNNNNNNNNNNNNNNNNNNNNNNNNNNNNNNNNNNNNNNNNNNNNNNNNNNNNNNNNNNNNNNNNNNNNNNNNNNNNNNNNNNNNNNNNNNNNNNNNNNNNNNNNNNNNNNNNNNNNNNNNNNNNNNNNNNNNNNNNNNNNNNNNNNNNNNNNNNNNNNNNNNNNNNNNNNNNNNNNNNNNNNNNNNNNNNNNNNNNNNNNNNNNNNNNNNNNNNNNNNNNNNNNNNNNNNNNNNNNNNNNNNNNNNNNNNNNNNNNNNNNNNNNNNNNNNNNNNNNNNNNNNNNNNNNNNNNNNNNNNNNNNNNNNNNNNNNNNNNNNNNNNNNNNNNNNNNNNNNNNNNNNNNNNNNNNNNNNNNNNNNNNNNNNNNNNNNNNNNNNNNNNNNNNNNNNNNNNNNNNNNNNNNNNNNNNNNNNNNNNNNNNNNNNNNNNNNNNNNNNNNNNNNNNNNNNNNNNNNNNNNNNNNNNNNNNNNNNNNNNNNNNNNNNNNNNNNNNNNNNNNNNNNNNNNNNNNNNNNNNNNNNNNNNNNNNNNNNNNNNNNNNNNNNNNNNNNNNNNNNNNNNNNNNNNNNNNNNNNNNNNNNNNNNNNNNNNNNNNNNNNNNNNNNNNNNNNNNNNNNNNNNNNNNNNNNNNNNNNNNNNNNNNNNNNNNNNNNNNNNNNNNNNNNNNNNNNNNNNNNNNNNNNNNNNNNNNNNNNNNNNNNNNNNNNNNNNNNNNNNNNNNNNNNNNNNNNNNNNNNNNNNNNNNNNNNNNNNNNNNNNNNNNNNNNNNGAUAGUCGUAGAUGAGGAAGUAUCUGGAUAUGUAAAUUCUUUAAGGAUAGUCUUUCAUCCCGUAGUGUAGGCCUUUGUAACGUGCUGUAAUGUGCUUUUCUUUUAAUGAAGUUCUUGUUUUGCUCUCAUGCUUAAGCUGUUCUCUUUUUAUCAUGUGUGAAAUACUUCAGAUUGCUCGCCUUAUAGUUUUAACCAACUGAGCUCUGUCCUGCUUUUUCCCGAGCUAAUCUAACCUAUCUGCGAGCUCUGAUGAGUUGAACUCCGGAUCCACUUAGUCAACUGGGUUUUCAAGUUUUCGAACUGGACUGUCUGACCGACCUGUGAGCUCGGUCUUUAUUUCGAUGAAUUGAGCUUUGAGUCUCCUUCAUC